AGCUGGUGUUGUGAAUCAGGCUG
rnacentral:ncRNA from 3 species